rnacentral:rRNA from 1 species
CUUUACUGCAACCUGGAAUUGAAUUUGGGUUUUUUUUGCGCAGUCUAGGUGGGAGGCUUUGAUUAUUUCUUUUUGGAGAAAUAUGAGCCAAUAUUGAGAGACCACCCUAAAAAAGCUAGAAUUCUAAGAGCGUCCCUUGAAACAGGGCGCUUGACAGUGCCUGGUGGGCAGUUUGACUGGGGCGGUCAUCUCUUAAAAAGUAACAGAGAUGUGCAAAGGUUCCUUCAGGCUGGACGGAAAUCAGUCGUAGAGUGUAAAGGCAUAAGGGAGCUUGACUGUAAGACUUACAAGUCAAACAGAGGCGAAAGCCGGUCUUAGUGAUCCGACGGUACCGCGUGGAAGGGCCGUCGCUAAACGGAUAAAAGUUA